UACAGAGGUCUCAAGCGUUGUUCGGAUUCAUUGGGCGUAAAGGGUGCGUAGGCGGCGCCGUAAGUCAGGUGUGAAAUUUCGGAGCUUAACUCCGAAACUGCAUUUGAUACUGCGGUGCUUUGAGGACUGGAGAGGAGACUGGAAUUUACGGUGUAAGCAGUGAAAUGCGUAGAGAUCGUAAGGAAUACCGAGAGGCGAAGGCGGCUACCGUGGACAAUUGCUGACGCUCGAGGCACGAAAGCGUGGGAGCAAAAGGG
rnacentral:rRNA from 1 species